rnacentral:rRNA from 1 species
UACGGAAGGCAGCAGGGGGAAUAUUGCACAAUGGGCGCAAGCCUGAUGCAGCCAUGCCGCGUGUAUGAAGAAGGCCUUCGGGUUGUAAAGUACUUUCAGUCGUGAGGAAGGUGUUAAGGUUAAUAACCUUAGCAAUUGACGUUAGCGACAGAAGAAGCACCGGCUAACUCCGUGCCAGCAGCCGCGGUAAUACGGAGGGUGCGAGCGUUAAUCGGAAUUACUGGGCGUAAAGGGCACGCAGGCGGUUAAUUAAGUUGGAUGUGAAAUCCCCGGGCUUAACCUGGGAAUGGCAUUCAAGCUGGUUAGCUAGAGUCUUGUAGAGGGGGUAGAAUUCCAUGUGUAGCGGUGAAAUGCGUAGAGAUGUGGAGGAAUACCGGUGGCGAAGGCGGCCCCUGGACAAAGACUGACGCUCAUGUGCGAAAGCGUGGGGAGCAAACGAGGGAUUAGA